rnacentral:rRNA from 1 species
AGAGUUUGAUCCUGGCUCAGGACGAACGCUGGCGGCGUGCUUAACACAUGCAAGUCGAACGGAAAGGCCCUUCGGGGUACUCGAGUGGCGAACGGGUGAGUAACACGUGGGUGAUCUGCCUCGUACUUUGGGAUAAGCCUGGGAAACUGGGUCUAAUACCGAAUAUGACCUCUGGAUGCAUGUCUGGUGGUGGAAAGUUUUUCGGUACGAGAUGGGCCCGCGGCCUAUCAGCUUGUUGGUGGGGGUAAUGGCCUACCAAGGCGGCGACGGGUAGCCGGCCUGAGAGGGCGACCGGCCACACUGGGACUGAGACACGGCCCAGACUCCUACGGGAGGCAGCAGUGGGGAAUAUUGCACAAUGGGCGCAAGCCUGAUGCAGCGACGCCGCGUGAGGGAUGACGGCCUUCGGGUUGUAAACCUCUUUCACCAGGGACGAAGAGUGAUUGACGGUACCUGGAGAAGAAGCACCGGCCAACUACGUG